GCGGGUGUAGCUCAAUGGUAGAGUUCCGGCCUUCCAAGCCGGCUGUGAGGGUUCGAUCCCCUUCACCCGCUCCA
rnacentral:tRNA from 46 species